CUAUUACUUUCUCCGUUCCGAAUUACUUGUCGCAGGUAUGGAUGUAUCUAGUUAUAUUUUAGUUCUAGAUACAUCUAUUUCACGGACAAGUAAUUUGGAAUGAAGGGAGUAAUAG
rnacentral:pre_miRNA from 1 species